UUUCUGAAACGGAAGUAAUUUUCUAAAUAUUUUUGGUUUUUCCACAUAAAUGUUUACAAACAGAAGCGAAAGAUGAAACGAUUUCCUUAGAUAUUUGCCUGUUUCCACUCUGGUUUGUGUAUGGCAUAAUCAAGUAGACAUUGAAAUCAAGGCCAAUUACAACGAACAAUCAUUUGAAGCUAUAAUCGAAGUCUGUUCGAACAGAAGCCCCAAUUUCCACCCACAGUAGAGCCCAGAAUCCAAAGAUUAUGCCCGGCUGCAGACGUUUCUGUCGAAUCUCUCGUCGCUGGUACUGCAGCAAUAGCCCGACUAGCAGUUGUGGGCCCUAUCGUGGUCCCUGCUCUGGACCAUGUGGUGGUCCUUGUUAUGGUUCCAGCUGUGGAACCUGCUGUGGUAACUGCUCCUGCCAAUGUGUGAUGUGCUCUAGUGGCCUCGCAACAUGUGGUCAGCCCUGUGGCAGAUCCUGCUUGCCCCGAAGGUGCUGCAUUUGAUAGAUUUAUUGGCAAUUUUUGUGGCGAUUGGACUUUACUGUGUGUGGUAGUUGGGAUUCUUAAAAACUUUAUGUAUGUGAAAUAAGUGAAAAA